CCUACGGGCGGCUGCAGUGGGGGAUAUUGCGCAAUGCGCGGAAGACUGAUGCAGCGACGCCGCGUGGGUGACGGAGCGCUUCGGCGCGUAAAGUUCUUUCGACAGGGAAGAAGAUGCAGAUACCUGACUCAGAAUCCCCGGCUAACUCCGUGCCAGCAGCCGCGGUAAUACGGAGGGGGCAAGCGUUGUCCGGAUUGACUGGGUGUAAAGGGGUCGCAGACGGCGUUGCAAGACAGGAGUGAAAGCCCAGGGCUCAACCCCAGGACUGCUCUUGGAACUGCAUGGCUAGAGUACCGGAGAGGAUAGCAGAAUUCCUAGUGUAGCGGUGAAAUGCGUAGAUAUUAGGAGGAACACCGGUGGCGAAGGCGGCCAGCUGGAUUGAAACUGACGUUGAGGCCCGAAGGCGUGGGGAGCAAACAGGAUUAGAUACCCUUGUAGUC
rnacentral:rRNA from 1 species